GCGGGUAUAGCUCAGUUGGUUAGAGCGUCCGGUUGUGGUCCGGAAGGUCAUGGGUUCGAGACCCAUUACUCGCCCCA
rnacentral:tRNA from 1 species